GUACGAUCGCAAGAUUAAAACUCAAAGGAAUUGACGGGGGCCCCGCACAAGCAGCGGAGCAUGCGGCUUAAUUCGACGCAACGCGAAGAACCUUACCAAGGCUUGACAUAUAGGGAAAAGUGGCAGAGAUGUCAUGUCCGCAAGGGCUCUAUACAGGUGGUGCAUGGUUGUCGUCAGCUCGUGUCGUGAGAUGUUGGGUUAAGUCCCGCAACGAGCGCAACCCUCGUUCUGUGUUGCCAGCAUUUAGUUGGGGACUCACAGGAGACUGCCGGGGUUAACUCGGAGGAAGGUGGGGAUGACGUCAAAUCAUCAUGCCCCUUAUGUCUUGGGCUGCACGCAUGCUACAAUGGCCGGUACAGAGGGCUGCAAUACCGUAAGGUGGAGCGAAUCCCAAAAAGCCGGUCUCAGUUCGGAUUGAGGUCUGCAACUCGACCUCAUGAAGUUGGAGUUGCUAGUAAUCGUAGAUCAGCAACGCUACGGUGAAUACGUUCCCGGGGCUUGUACACACCGCCCGUCACGUCACGAAAGUCGGUAACACCCAAAGUCAGUGGCCCAACCGCAAGGGGGGAGCUGCCUAAGGUGGGAUCGGUGAUUGGGACG
rnacentral:rRNA from 1 species